GGCCCAGACAGCCAGGAUGUUGGCUUAGAAGCAGCCAUCAUUUAAAGAAAGCGUAAUAGCUCACUGGUCGAGUCGGCCUGCGCGGAAGAUGUAACGGGGCUAAACCAUGCACCGAAGCUGCGGCAGCGACACUCAGGUGUUGUUGGGUAGGGGAGCGUUCUGUAAGCCUGCGAAGGUGGCCUGUGAGGGUUGCUGGAGGUAUCAGAAGUGCGAAUGCUGACAUAAGUAACGAUAAAGCGGGUGAAAAGCCCGCUCGCCGGAAGACCAAGGGUUCCUGUCCAACGUUAAUCGGGGCAGGGUGAGUCGACCCCUAAGGCGAGGCCGAAAGGCGUAGUCGAUGGGAAACGGGUUAAUAUUCCCGUACUUGGUGUUACUGCGAAGGGGGGACGGAGAAGGCUAUGUUGGCCGGGCGACGGUUGUCCCGGUUUAAGCGUGUAGGUGUGUGUUCCAGGUAAAUCCGGUUCACUUUAACACUGAGGCGUGACGACGAGGCACUACGGUGCUGAAGCAACAAAUGCCCUGCUUCCAGGAAAAGCCUCUAAGCAUCAGGUAACAUCAAAUCGUACCCCAAACCGACACAGGUGGUCAGGUAGAGAAUACCAAGGCGCUUGAGAGAACUC
rnacentral:rRNA from 1 species